AAUGGGGGAAACCCUGACGCAGCAACGCCGCGUGAGUGAUGAGGGCCUUCGGGUCGUAAAGCUCUGUCAGAGGGAAAGAAAUGUGGGCGGCUAAUAUCCGUUCCACUUGACGGUACCCUCAGAGGAAGCACCGGCUAACUCCGUGCCAGCAGCCGCGGUAAUACGGAGGGUGCGAGCGUUGUUCGGAAUUAUUGGGCGUAAAGGGCGCGUAGGCGGUCUUGUAAGCCCGGCGUGAAAACCUGGAGCUCAACUCCGGGCCUGCGCUGGGAACUGCGGGACUAGAGUCAUGGAAGGGAAGUUGGAAUUCCAGGUGUAGGGGUGAAAUCUGUAGAUAUCUGGAAGAACACCGGUGGCGAAGGCGAACUUCUGGCCAAUGACUGACGCUGAGGCGCGAAAGUGCGGGGAGCAAA
rnacentral:rRNA from 1 species